AAUGCGUAGAGAUCAGGAAGAACACCGGUGGCGAAGGCGCUCUGCUGGGCUAUAACUGACACUGAGGGACGAAAGCUAGGGGAGCGAAUGGGAUUAGAUACCCCAGUAGUCCUAGCGGUAAACGAUGGAAACUAGGUGUGGCCUGUAUCGACCCGGGCCGUGCCGAAGCAAACGCGUUAAGUUUCCCGCCUGGGGAGUACGCACGCAAGUGUGAAACUCAAAGGAAUUGACGGGGGCCCGCACAAGCGGUGGAGUAUGUGGUUUAAUUCGAUGCAACGCGAAGAACCUUACCAGGACUUGACAUCUCUGGAAUUUCCUUGAAAGGGGAGAGUGCC
rnacentral:rRNA from 1 species